GUGGGGAAUCUUAGACAAUGGGGGAAACCCUGAUCUAGCCAUGCCGCGUGAGCGAUGAAGGCCUUAGGGUUGUAAAGCUCUUUCAGCUGGGAAGAUAAUGACUGUACCAGCAGAAGAAGCCCCGGCUAACUCCGUGCCAGCAGCCGCGGUAAUACGGAGGGGGCUAGCGUUGUUCGGAAUUACUGGGCGUAAAGCGCACGUAGGCGGACCGGAAAGUCAGAGGUGAAAUCCCAGGGCUCAACCUUGGAACUGCCUUUGAAACCCCUGGUCUUGAGGUCGAGAGAGGUGAGUGGAAUUCCGAGUGUAGAGGUGAAAUUCGUAGAUAUUCGGAGGAACACCAGUGGCGAAGGCGGCUCACUGGCUCGGUACUGACGCUGAGGUGCGAAAGCGUGGGGAGCAAACAGGAUUAGAUACCCGUGUAGUCC
rnacentral:rRNA from 1 species